rnacentral:rRNA from 1 species
UACGUAGGGGGCAAGCGUUGUCCGGAUUUAUUGGGCGUAAAGAGCGUGUAGGCGCCAAGCAGGUCAGCUGUGAAAACUCGAGGCUCAACCUCGAGACGUCGGUUGAAACCGCUUGGCUAGAGUCCGGAAGAGGAGAGUGGAAUCCUGGUGUAGCGGUGGAAUGCGCAGAUAUCAGGAGGAACACCGAUGGCGAAGGCAGGUCUCUGGGCAUUAACUGACGCUGAGGAGCGAAAGCAUGGGGAGCGAACAGG